ACGGGUGAGUAAUGCCUAGGAAUCUGCCUGGUAGUGGGGGACAACGUCUCGAAAGGGACGCUAAUACCGCAUACGUCCUACGGGAGAAAGCAGGGGACCUUCGGGCCUUGCGCUAUUAGAUGAGCCUAGGUCGGAUUAGCUAGUUGGUGAGGUAAUGGCUCACCAAGGCGACGAUCCGUAACUGGUCUGAGAGGAUGAUAAGUCACACUGGAACUGAGACACGGUCCAGACUCCUACGGGAGGCAGCAGUGGGGAAUAUUGGACAAUGGGCGAAAGCCUGAUCCAGCCAUGCCGCGUGUGUGAAGAAGGUCUUCGGAUUGUAAAGCACUUUAAGUUGGGAGGAAGGGUUGUAGAUUAAUACUCUGCAAUUUUGACGUUACCGACAGAAUAAGCACCGGCUAACUCUGUGCCAGCAGCCGCGGUAAUACAGAGGGUGCAAGCGUUAAUCGGAAUUACUGGGCGUAAAGCGCGCGUAGGUGGUUUGUUAAGUUGGAUGUGAAAGCCCCGGGCUCAACCUGGGAACUGCAUUCAAAACUGACAAGCUAGAGUAUGGUAGAGGGUGGUGGAAUUUCCUGUGUAGCGGU
rnacentral:rRNA from 1 species